CUUCUUUAUGCUCCACCGCUGAGCGAAAAACAGAGGGGUCUCCAACAGGAGAGAACCUUGGAGCUGUGUUUGUGCACUGACGUUGGGCAGGAAACGUGCUGACCCUGCUCCACUGACCACACCCCGGCUCCGGCUGGAUGGAAGGAUGAUUGGGGAGCAGAGCGUGGGGUUUCCAGUGGGGCUUUACUGAGCAAAAAUUCAAGUGCAAUUUUUUUUUUUUUUUUUUUGCUAACAUAAAAGGUUUUAUGGGAUUUAUUGACGUUACCAUAUAAAACCUAGCUUUCUGGAGUCCCUGGGAAUUUGCAGGGCAAUUAAUUCAGCCGGAUCUAGACAGGAACGGAAGACAGAAUGGAACUGAGCUGCUCCAAGUCUUAGGUGCCUGAUGGAAGGUUGCGCUCCGCCAUGUGCCUACCAGUGGAGGUCCUGGUAAGGAACACGGAACUUAUAAGCCACCACCAACCAGAAGAAUUCGGGAAAG